rnacentral:misc_RNA from 1 species
AUGGGCGUGUCCCGCGCAGUCGAUGUGUUCGCGGUUCUGCUCC